CCACCGCACGAGCCAGACAAAGCCGCAGCGCUCCGCGCGCGUUCGCAACCCGGCUCGUCCCCCCCCCUCACCUAACGUCACUUCCGUUCCCAGGAGAGUCAGGAACUACAUCUCCCAGACUGCUCCAGGGGGUGCUUCCGCCCUCGCCAGCCCAGGGCAAAAAUCUUCCGCAACAAUGAAGGCUUGGGCUCAUGACCAGUGGCUGCAGAACUAUUGGAUGCACAAGUCCACAUUUCUGCAUCUGUGUGCAAAACUCACCAAAAUAAAAGCUGCACUGACAAUGGAGAAGAAAAAAUAAUUGCACUAAUGGGACCUGCAACACCAGAUUCUUAUUGGUCAAUCAGUGGUCUCUCUCCUAAACCAAGGUGGAAUGUAUUUCUUUAAUAUUCUUCAGAGUUUCAGAAAACUAUUUUCUCCCAAAAAGUUGCACCAACCAAAAAAUUACCUCUACAACACACAUAAUGGCAA